GUCCAGCCGACGAGUCCUAAAUAGGACGAACACAAUCUCCUGGAU
rfam:Schistosoma rodhaini strain Burundi genome assembly, scaffold: SROB_scaffold0001106